AACGCACAUUGCGCCCCUUGGUAUUCCGAGGGGCAUGCCUGUUCGAGCGUCAUUACACCACUCAAGCUAUGCUUGGUAUUGGGCGUCGUCCUUAGUUGGGCGCGCCUUAAAGACCUCGGCGAGGCCACUCCGGCUUUAGGCGUAGUAGAAUUUAUUCGAACGUCUGUCAAAGGAGAGGAACUCUGCCGACUGAAACCUUUAUUUUUCUAGGUUGACCUCGGAUCAGGUAGGGAUACCCGCUGAACUUAA
rnacentral:misc_RNA from 6 species